CGAGGAGAACGUUCCAGUUGCCAACAGUUCACGCAAUUUUUGUAACGAUUUUUUUUUGUCGCGCGAGACUACUUUUCCGUAUCAGCGAUCGAGUUCGGAUCUACCUCAUCUGGAACAGAACGAAGUAGCGAAGACGAGAUAAAAAGAAAACGAAAAAAAAAGAAAUGCAUAGCUACAAUUAUAAACGUUUUUUUUUCCUAGACACUAGGUGGUAGUAAAUUUGUAUGCAGGGUGUAGAAGAGAGGCUGUAGCUACACAAGGUACUAUUAUAAAUUGUAAUACAAUAUUCUGAUUAAAACCGUAUUCGGAUUAAAACCGUAAUUUUAAGAUAUCGUUACUAUUAUUAUUAUUAUUAUUCGAUUAUCGAAAACGACAGUGCUUAUAUUGAAGAGAAAGCAAAGAACAAGGGAAAAUCACAUGACUGUAUUCACUUAUUUAUUUAUUGUCGCACCGCAUAUUGUUCCGGCGAAGUAAUCUCCGAAAGAGAUAUAUUUAUAAAGUAAUAUAACAAAAAUAUAUUAUACAUAUACACAUCUCGUGCGUGCGAAAGUCCUGUAUUGCCCUAUCCGAGCUGAGAUAAUUCAAUUUUUACUAGUUUAUUAUAAAAUAGAGUAACUUUGACUCGAAUUUUAACAAUGCCCAGAUAAGAAAAACGUUUUAAGACGUUUUAUAUUCUUUGCUGUCUAGGUAUUUUUUAAAAUUUGGGUCAAAGUUACUUCAUUUUACAUUUUUCAAAGCCACUAUACAAUCACAGAAAGUUUUAAUAUUUCUCAGUCAAUUUGUAUAAAAUUACUUCUAGUUUUUACCUGUGCAAUUUGAGAAAUUAUCUUCCUCGUCUCGGUGGAACUAAAAGCGAUAGUCAAUAGAUCGUAUUGUAAAAGUUCACGUUUUAUUCUUAUUUGGUAGAAUUGUACAAUAUCGUAAAUAUCAAAACAUACAAUAAUUGGAAUACAAUAAGCAACAUGAUUAUUACAAGUUUCCUAGUCCAUGGGCCAAGAAGAGACCUGCGUAUUUAUCGCAGAGCGCACACCUUUCCUUUUUCUCUCUUUUUUACAAAGUUUUCGACAGUAUGUACAAUCGGUCUUUUUAUCGAUAGAUAAAAGAAGAAUAUGGAAAACAAGAGAUAUUCAGAGCAACAUAUAAACAAAUAUACCUAUCUUAUUUCUAAAACUACAUACGUAUUUAUCACUGAGGCUUGAAGUUUUUGUAUUAAUUACAAAAUAUGAAAAGAGACGUUUGCGCGUCUCAUCCUUUGCCAGGAUAAUUCUGCACGAAGAGGAACAUUACGUAAAGUGUACUUUAAUCGGUAUAUACUAAUACGAACAAAAACAUAUUACGAAAGAUCUUGCAACAAACGUUUCUUCGGGCAAAAUCAUUUCCAGAAAAUGAGACGCACAAAUAGUCUUCGUUCCCACACAUUUUAACAUUGUCCGGAAGAUUGUAUCAUACUUGGAAUGUAUGAAUCGGAGAUGCGUUUUACGCAUUCGUGAAAUUGAGAUUCAGUAAGGAAUUGCCCCAUAAAGUCCAGCCCUUAUCCAAGCAAUCAAGAUUCGAGAGACCACGUCUCGAGAAUGGCAAAUGGGUAUGCACUGCUAGCACAAGAGGUGAUAAAGAAUACGAGUGAAUAAAUGUUCCCGUAAAUACAAAAAGUAAUCUAUUCACAGUACAGAAAUUCUGAGAUGGCGAUGGUCAAAGCAUCGCAACGUGUCUCUAGAUAUCCAAUAAAAAAGAUACGAAAAUUGGCAGAUAUGUUCAACAAGCAAGUAUAGUGGCAGUGUAACGCCGUAUUUACUGUUUUCCCGGCAGUAAAAUGGAGCAUUGCGCUCGUUCUUCCAUUGGCAGUAAAUUGUAUCACCCCAGAUAUUUCCAAGAUCGAAGAUUAAAUUCUUAGAACCUAAGGAAUCGGCAGUAGAUCACACGCAAAGAUGAGGAAAGAAAACGACUGAUAUCCAUUUCUACCAAUACAGAUUAACUUUAAUCUUAAUUUUUAUUUUCUCUAAAAGUACGUUUAAA